UACGAAGGGGGCUAGCGUUGCUCGGAAUCACUGGGCGUAAAGGGUGCGUAGGCGGGUCUUUAAGUCAGGGGUGAAAUCCUGGAGCUCAACUCCAGAACUGCCUUUGAUACUGAAGAUCUUGAGUUCGGGAGAGGUGAGUGGAAACUGCGAGUGUAGAGGUGAAAUUCGUAGAUAUUCGCAAGAACACCAGUGGCGAAGGCGGCUCACUGGCCCGAUACUGACGCUGAGGCACGAAAGCGUGGGGAGCAAACAGG
rnacentral:rRNA from 1 species